rnacentral:rRNA from 1 species
CCUACGGGGGGCAGCAGUGAGGAAUAUUGGUCAAUGGCCGGAAGGCUGAACCAGCCAUGCCGCGUGAAGGUCAGUGCCCUAUGGGCGUUAAACUUCUUUUGUGCGGGAGCAAUAAUGGUCACGUGUGGCCAGACGAGAGUACCGUACGAAUAAGCAUCGGCUAACUCCGUGCCAGCAGCCGCGGUAAUACGGGGGAUGCAAGCGUUAUCCGGAUUUAUUGGGUUUAAAGGGUGCGUAGGCUGUGCGGUAAGUCAGCGGGGAAAUGCCCCCGCUCAACGGGGUGAAGUGCCAUUGAUACUGCCUUGCUGGAAUGCGGAUGCCGUGGGAGGAAUGUGUGGUGUAGCGGUGAAAUGCAUAGAGAUCACACAGAACACCGAUUGCGAAGGCAUCUCACGAAUCCGCGAUUGACGCUGAUGCACGAAAGCGUGGGUAUCAAACAGGAUUAGAUACCCCAGUAGUC